CUCCACAGAUAGCGAGAUUUUAGCUAUCUAUCUGGGUGAACAACACUGACUUGGUGAAUUUUCCUCAUUUACUGUCACUGUGGGAGAGAAAAGAAAGCAGAUUUCGAUGGAGAAACUCUUGCAAAUGAGCAGGUUAAGCAGAAAAGCCGUAAAUCUCGGUGGUGAGACACAGCUGGAGAGUCCUGGACCUUGACCGACUGACAUUCAUGCCGUUCCUGGGUGAUCAACAGCAACAACAGCAGCAGCAGCUUAAUCCCGUCCUCAGGUAUGCGUGCUCCACUCCACAAACAAACCCCGCAAAUAAAUAUUAAUCUUCCAGAAAAAUAGAUCUACGUUAAGAGAUUCUCGGCAGGUUGAUCUGGUGGCGGAUUUUUCCCCGCAGAGCGCAGACCUGGCUUGUGAAUGGGAGCAGCAGCAGCAGAGAAACACGCCUAGAGAGCGAUGCCUCAUCUUAAAGGGCCAGCAGAGCUGUAGGUAGAUACAGUAGACAUCCAGGAACAAAGGAAGCAGGGUUCAUUUCCAUGUUAUCACAAAACAGAAAACAUAACACCUAUAUUCAAAAUACUAAGGACAAAAGUAACAAACUAGGAAGCUAAGGAACACUGCACUGACCUCCAUGACUGAUGAGGAUGCUGAUGCUGAUAACCUUUUCACACCUUUCCUUAUUCAAUGUGUUUUCUUUCUAUCUAUAUAUCUUUUUUUACGUUGUACAUUUAAUGUUAAAGUAUAAUAUGUUUUACUCUGUUCUAAGUCAGUUCUACCUGGCACACAACCGACCUUCAAAGUUGAAAUAUGGUUGUAAACAACAACAACAGACUUUCAAUAUCUUACGCAUCACUUUAAAUAAGGAAGGACUAAAGUGCUGCCACUAUGAUCGGGAGUUUGCUGGUUCAAAUCCUGUUUAUGCAGCUUGCCAUCAGCUGCCGGAGCUCCAAGACAGCACAAUUCGCCUUGCUCUCUCUGGGUGGGUAGAUAGUGCUCUCUCUCCACAUCACUCAGCAUAAGGCUGCGUCUGUGAGCUGAUGUAUUGGAACCGAGUCGCUGCUCUUUCCUCCAAGCGUGCUGUGAUGCUACUCGGCAAUGCUGCAUCAGCAGCAGUUGGAAAAGAAGCAGUGACUGACUUCACAUGUAUCGGAGAGGGCAUGUCUUCACCUUCCUGGUGUUGGGGCAUCACUAAUGAUGGGGGAGUCCUAAUGAGUGGGUUGGGUAAUUUCCUUGUAAAUUGGGGAGAAAAUGUGAUUAAAAAAUGGUAAGGAUUAAAAAUCCAAAUUGUAAUCAAGAAUCACUCAUAUAUUUAAAGAAUACUGAGAUGUUUUAGCCUACAAACACCAGUCCUUACACUCAAAUUAAAUCAACUUACAUUCAA